ACUAAUUAAAAAGACUAUGUCCGUUUAUUUCCUUCCUCCAAAUUUCACUAAUGCAAAAGUAACCGUUCAAAAGAUACGAGAGAGGGAGGGGACAUUUAGGUUGCACUGUAUUAUUGGUUAUAUUAGUAAAAAAAUUAAGAAAGGUUAAAUUCAUAAUAAAACGUAAUUUCCUAAUAAUUUAUUAUCAAUCUUAUAAAUAAAAUUUUGUAACCUGGCUAUAAUAUUUUUAAUAUGUUACGUGUCCCGGUAUUUUGAAUUGCUUUAUCGAUUUUGUUGCGUUUUUUGCUCUAACCAACUAGGAAAGCUUCACAACCAUCCAAAAUUCUAUACACGACCUGACUAGAAUUUCACUGAAUAACGAUCAAAGAGCAAAUUGAAACACUGAAUACUUUAUACACUUCCCAAUGUCGCUA